UACGUAGGGUGCAAGCGUUGUUCGGAAUUACUGGGCGUAAAGCGCGCGUAGGCGGGCUCAUAUGUCAAUUGUGAAAUCCCCGGGCUCAACCUGGGAAUGGCAGUUGAAACUGUGGGUCUUGAGUGUCUGAGAGGAUGGGGGAAUUCCUGGUGUAGUAGUGAAAUACGUAGAUAUCAGGAGGAACACCUGAGGCGAAGGCGCCUGUCUGGUGGAUCACUGACGCUGAGGCGCGAAAGCGUGGGGAGCAAACAGG
rnacentral:rRNA from 1 species